rnacentral:rRNA from 1 species
UUGCUAGAAGGCGUCGAGCGGCGGACGGGUGAGUAAUGCUUAGGAAUCUACCGAGUAGUGGGGGAUAGCCAUUGGAAACGAUGAUUAAUACCGCAUAUAUCCUACGGGGGAAAGCAGGGGACCUUCGGGCCUUGCGCUAUUCGAUGAGCCUGAGUGAGAUUAGCUAGUUGGUGGGGUAAAGGCCUACCAAGGCGACGAUCUCUAGCUGGUCUGAGAGGAUGAUCAGCCACACUGGGACUGAGACACGGCCCAGACUCCUACGGGAGGCAGCAGUGGGGAAUAUUGCACAAUGGGCGAAAGCCUGAUGCAGCCAUGCCGCGUGUGUGAAGAAGGCCUUAGGGUUGUAAAGCACUUUCAGCGAGGAGGAAAGGUUAGUAGUUAAUAACUGCUAGCUGUGACGUUACUCGCAGAAGAAGCACCGGCUAAUUUAGUGCCAGCAGCCGCGGU